UUAGAUACCCCAGUAGUCAAAGGGUUAGUACCCUGCCUCGGGUUGUAAACCUCUUUUCUGGGGGACGAAAGCUGACGGUACCCCAGGAAUAAGCCUCGGCUAACUCCGUGCCAGCAGCCGCGGUAAGACGGAGGAGGCAAGCGUUAUCCGGAAUUAUUGGGCGUAAAGGGUACGUAGGCGGCUGGUCAAGUCUGGGGUCAAAGGCCACAGCUCAACUGUGGGAAGGCCCUGGAAACUGACCGGCUAGAGUGAGGUAGGGGUUGCGGGAAUUCCCGGUGUAGCGGUGAAAUGCGUAGAGAUCGGGAAGAACACCUGAGGCGGAAGCGCGCAACUGGGCCUCAACUGACGCUGAGGUACGAAAGCUAGGGGAGCGAAUGGGAUUAGAUACCCC
rnacentral:rRNA from 1 species